CCUAAUGUUAUGAGUUGAAGUUGAAGAUGAAAUUGAAACUAUGAGAAGAGCUAAAGGGUUUUGGUGUUUAAUUAACAAUGAAAGAAGUACAGCAAAAGGACUUCUGAAUCAUUCUCACAAAUAUGAUUGGCAAGAUAUAAUCCAAUGGCAUUUGUAUAUGCAUAUGUGCAAUAUCUUGAUGUGAGUGACAUUGAAGUCCUGUCUGUUGCCAGAUAGGAGUGUUGAAUUAGUACAUUCUCUUCUUAAGGACUGCAGGAUUCAUAUCGAAUCAGUUAAGCCGGUUCUUGUAAAAUCAAAUGUUCUCAGUGAAGUUCAGAGAUACGGUGGUCUCAUGUCGAGGAUUUUCCUAUUUCCCCUUCUUGUCCAGUAUCUUUAUCACCUCAUCUUGGGCCAGGCAGACUUACGCCUGAAUCUCUUGGACAAUUAAAAUAAACAGAUCAUGGCGUUGGUGGUCCUGCUGGACUUAGGCGUUUCAUUUAUCGAAGCAUUUAUCAGGAUUUGAGAUUUGAGCAUCAGAAUCAUUCUCACAUAUAUGCCUGCCAAUAUAUAAUCCGACGGCGGUCUUGAUGUACCUUAGGACAUGAUCUGAUGCUGUGUAAAAACAUACUUAAUGUUGCUUACCACUACUUGAGAUGCACUUUGUCCCGACUCGGUACAAACUUCAUGGUUGGACAAUAGAUAUAGAAUGAUUUGUUUUGUUAAAAAGGUUAAAUAAUAGUAUGUAAGAUUUAUUUGAAAUGUUCCCCUUUGUUUUCCUCAUUUUAAUCAAUAAUUUUAUAUGGUAUUCUUGUUGGAUUCACAUCUAGCAGUGAUUGUGAAGUCAAAUGUUCUCAGUGGAGUUCAGAGAUCCAUGCUAGAUGGUGGUCUUCGUGUAAGAGGAUUUGCCCAUAGAUCCUUCUCGUCCGUAAUCUUCUUCUCUUCAUCUAGGGAAAAGACCGACUUAUACCUGAAUCUCUUGAAUUUAUCUGGAUCAAAAGAAGCAGAUCAUGGCAUUGGUGGUCCAGCUGUACUUUGGCAUUUCAUUUAUAGAACCAUAUAUCUGAAUCACUAAUCCAAUGAACAGUUCUGUUUCCAGACAACAAAAGAGAUUUGUACAUAGUUUACCAGAAAGGUUUAUGGUUCCCUGCACGGUUAUUUAUAACCCAAUUUAGAAGAAAUGAAAAUAUGGUAUGGUAUCUUUCCUUUUCCUAUGGAUAUCACCAUAAAUUAAGAUUAAGCAAAGGGCAUCUCCUAACACUCCAAGAUUGUUCACUUUCUGAUGCGACAUAGUUUCUUCAAGGAGUGGCAAAUUUAUG